rnacentral:lncRNA from 1 species
AUGGGGUCUGACUUAAGUCAAAAGACGGCAGGGCGUCCUUCCCAGGAGGAGCCUGAAGGCAGUGACACAGACCUCAAGGACUCCAGAAACUUGACUCUCCCCUCUUGCCCAGAGGGUUUACUUCUCUCUGCAAGAUUCUGCCUGGAAAGAGAUCUCUCUCAAUAUCCUCUGUCAAAAGAGGAGCCCAGAGCACAGGACAACCCAGUGCAGGCUGACCCUUGGCAUCCUCACAGACAGCAGAGAACAAAGACAAGCAUUAGACCUGCCCUCCAUGCACAUUUCCUGCAGACACAGCUCCAGCCGACAGCCAGCAGGAGACAGGGCAGGAAGUGCAGAUGCCUUCCUCCGGAGACCUCAGGGGGCAUGUCUCCAGAGACCGCCUGCCUUAUCCCUCCCUCCUGA